rnacentral:pre_miRNA from 1 species
AGGAGGAACAGCCCCAGUGGCGGGGCAGCUCUGGAAACCUGGAUUCAGCUCCGGCAGGAACUCCUUCUGCAGGGCCUGGAGGCUCCGGGGCGGG